AUUGAACGCUGGCGGCAUGCUUUACACAUGCAAGUCGAACGGUAACAGGCCGCAAGGUGCUGACGAGUGGCGAACGGGUGAGUAAUGCAUCGGAACGUGCCCAGUCGAGGGGGAUAACCGCUCGAAAGAGCAGCUAAUACCGCAUACGAUCUAUGGAUGAAAGCGGGGGACCGUAAGGCCUCGCGCGAUUGGAGCGGCCGAUGUUAGAUUAGGUAGUUGGUGGGGUAAAGGCUCACCAAGCCAACGAUCUGUAGCUGGUCUGAGAGGACGACCAGCCACACUGGGACUGAGACACGGCCCAGACUCCUACGGGAGGCAGCAGUGGGGAAUUUUGGACAAUGGGGGCAACCCUGAUCCAGCAAUGCCGCGUGCAGGAAGAAGGCCUUCGGGUUGUAAACUGCUUUUGUACGGAACGAAACGGUCUGGGUUAAUACCCUGGGCUAAUGACGGUACCGUAAGAAUAAGCACCGGCUAACUACGUGCCAGCCGCCGCCGUAACAC
rnacentral:rRNA from 1 species